rnacentral:rRNA from 1 species
CCUACGGGAGGCAGCAGUGGGGAAUUUUGGACAAUGGGCGCAACCCUGAUCCAGCAAUGCCGCGUGAGUGAAGAAGGCCUUCGGGUUGUAAAGCUCUAUUGUCAGGGAAGAAACGGCUCCAGCUAAUAUCUGGGGCUAAUGACGGUACCUGAAGAAUAAGCACCGGCUAACUACGUGCCAGCAGCCGCGGUAAUACGUAGGGUGCAAGGGUUAAUCGGAAUUACUGGGCGUAAAGCGUGCGCAGGCGGUUUUGUAAGUCUGACGUGUAAUCCCCGGGCUCAACCUGGGAAUUGCGUUGGAGACUGCAAGGCUAGAAUCUGGCAGAGGGGGGUACAAUUCCACGUGUAGCAGUGAAAUGCGUAGAGAUGUGGAGGAACACGGAUGGCGAAGGCAGCCCCCUGGGUCAAGAUUGACGCUCAUGCACGAAAGCGUGGGGAGCAAACAGGAUUAGAUACCCUGGUAGUCCACGCCCUAAACGAUGUCUACUAGUUGUCGGGUCUUAAUUGACUUGGUAACGCAGCUAACGCGUGAAG